UUUUAGGGAGCUCUUCACGCGGCGAAAACGAACGCAACAAUGAAACAUCGAUUCUUUAGACAGCUGUUAUAAACGCGUUAGAUCUUUGAUCUUACACGUUACUUUGACAGAGGGUUAACUAAUAACUUGUUAGGUCCAUAACUAAUACAUCUAGAUAACUAUUAAUAAGCUAGAUUUACAUACAAUCAAUAACAUUUUAUAAAUACCCAAGCACGUAAAUAUGUCUACAAAAACAGUAGCCAUUAUUCUGCGCAUGUGUGCAACAAGCGUGUAGCUUUCACUACAUUGAUAGCGUAGACAGAGAGAGUAAUAGACGCCUUCGUAGCAUCCAUUGCAUUCUCUCGAAAAACGAGAACAACUUAUGCGUGGACUGUGUAAAGAAACGAGACAAGACGAUUCGAUACUCGUAAUAUGACGCGCUAAUACGGCUCCCUGCCCGCUAAUCAGUGAGUUGCAUACUCCAUCCAUAUUAUUAUUAUUCCAUUUCGCAUUUCAUUUCAUUCUCCGUCAACCGCACAAUCAUAUGGACGCCUUACAUUAAAAUUAAAAGGGGCUAGUACCGAAUGUAUACUCGUUUAAGUAUAAAAUAUGGUUUGAAAAAAGAACGUUUUUUUUUAUAAAGCUCUUAUAGUAUCGCGUUGUUCAACGUAACAAAGGUGCGGACGCUCGCUGUGAAACAACUGAAGUAUAAACAAAAAAAUAAUGGCGGCCAGUAGCUAUCUGUGUUGAGUGCGGUGGCUGUGUGCGAGGUGUGUUGCCAGAUAAAGGAAAUUUCCCAAUUUUUACCUAAAAUAAGUAAUUAAUAAUAAAAAUGUUGCUUCGGAACUCGUUUAAGGAUUUUCGAUUUGUAUGUG